rnacentral:lncRNA from 1 species
GAACAACUGGGUUUUGAUUAGAUAAAGUUUAGCCUUCGCUACUUGCUUGUAAACGCGCGUGCUGAUCCAGCCGCCCGUCUUCUUGUUUCUGAAACCCCACUUCAUUAGAGAUUGAGUUUGAAACCUUCAUUUACAUCUAGUAUUUUAGUACUUGUUCUACUUGUUCUUGCUGGUUCUUCGAUUGCUUGCAGGACGAGUGCCCUAGUGGCCGGGUGUUGCGCUCCACAAGAUCGUGACAACCAUUGGAGGCGGUGUAUCGGUUGCUAAGGCGCGGCCUUAGAAGGCUGUAGUCGGGCCAUGAACGUCAUCUCCAUUCACUAAUCGAGUUAUCCAGCGCCUCUCAUCGAAAGAUCUGGCGAAAACCCUAGUGGGUUCACAUCAAUUGGUAAUCAGAGCAAGGUUUAUCGGUGAGAGAUUUCCAAUUCUUCGUGUUUGUUUUUCCUAUAGUCCAAAAAAAAGACAAAAAAUAUAGCAAAUUUGUUUUCCAUAAUCCUAUAAAUCCUUUGUGCCGUGGCUAGUACUACUUAGUUAGGGCUGGUUGAAUGAGUGUUUGCUUCGGUC